AUCAGCCUCUGAGCAUUAGAAAGUUUCCUGUUAGGGCAUGCUUAGACACAACAUCAGGAACCUAGAAGACUGGACCAGUCCCUGCUGUCUCUGAAUUUCCACCUCUGUCUCUCUCCACACUGCUCCCUGAGAAACUCAAGGGGCUUGCAUCCCCUCUCCUGCCCCACAGAACCACCCAAGGCCAGGCACUACACUCUACAAGCCAUGAACACAAGUUUUCAGAUGAAAGAAAUUGAGGCUGCGGGGGCUUAUGGAGGGCUCUCAAAGUCAUACGAGUUUCUGCUGUUUCCCACAUAGAG